GGGGAUUUGGCUCAGUGGUAGAGCACUUGCCUAGCAAGUGCAAGGCCUUGGGUUCGAUCCCCAGCUCCG
rnacentral:tRNA from 1 species